AUGAGCCGACGCAACGGCCGCACCAUCUACGUGGGCAAUCUCCCCGAGGACAUCCGCGAGAGGGAAAUUGAGGAUCUCUUCUACAAGUACGGUCCUAUUGUCGAUAUCGAUCUGAAAAUUCCUCCAAGGCCUCCUGUUUAUGCUUUUGUCGAGUUUGAAGACCCACGUGAUGCUGAUGAUGCAAUUUAUGGCCGUGAUGGAUACGACUUUGAUGGCUACAAAUUGCGGGUGGAGUUAGCUCAUGGGGGAAAAGGCCCUUCUUUUGAUCGACCAAACAGCUAUACUAGUUCUGGACGUCGUGGUGCACUUAGGCGUUCUGAUUACCGCGUUAUUGUUACCGGAUUACCUUCUUCAGCAUCAUGGCAAGAUCUCAAGGAUCAUAUGCGGCGAGCUGGUGAUGUCUGUUUCUCUGAUGUUUAUCCUGAGGCUGGAGCAAUUACUGGAAUAGUUGAGUAUACCAACUACGAAGACAUGAAACAUGCGAUAAGGAAGCUUGAUGAUUCAGAGUUCCGUAAUGCAUUUUCACGCGCAUAUAUCAGGGUGAGGGAGUACAAUGCUAGGCGUAGCCGCUCUUACUCGAGAAGUAGAAGCCGAAGCUGCUCUUACUCGAGAAGCAGAAGUCACAGUUAUAGCAGGAGCAGGAGUCCAAGGUCAUCAAGAUCCCUAUCACCUGCCGCUCCUGCGCGUGACAAGUCUGCGAGCAGGAGCCCCGUCAGGAGCAGAAGUUUACCCCGUUCUCAGUCUCCUGUGAAAUCUGAGUGA
rnacentral:rRNA from 1 species